rnacentral:tRNA from 1 species
GGUCCCGUAGCUCAGCUGGAUAGAGCAUCGGUUUCCUAAACCGAGGGUCACAGGUUCAAGUCCUGUCGGGAUCA